UCGGCUCUGCGCGGGCCGCGCGAUCUUCAGUGACCUGAACCAGCCGCCGCCCGCUCCGGAGUCAGAAGGGAACGGACUCGCAGGCUGUAGAGUACAAGAUAACGGAAUACACCUGCUUUUGGCCCUGGCUUCUCACCGGACACCUGCGGUGACCUCCCGGGUUUUCAAAGGACAAGUACCUCAUGCAAGAAUGCAGUGCUUUUGAAGCCAGACGAUGAUAAUCAAGGUUUCACUGGUUUAGCAGAAUGUUCGAGAGGACCCAGGGACAUGAAAGGAACAGCACAGUGAAGAGCUAAGAGCCCUGCCCAGCAACAAAUGCUGCCAAAGCACUCCGCACGCAGAAACGCUCCGGAAUGGGCGGUGGGGGCAGAGCAGAAAAAGGAGUUUGUUAAAAAAUAAAUUAUAACAUUUUUUCCUUUC